rnacentral:rRNA from 1 species
ACUGAGACACUGCCCAGACUCCUACGGGAGGCUGCAGUCGAGAAUCUUCCGCAAUGGACGCAAGUCUGACGGAGCGACGCCGCGUGUAGGAUGAAGGCCCUCGGGUUGUAAACUACUGUCACGAGUUAAGAAUGGCGUAUCGUGAAUAGCGAUGCGUUUGACGUAAGCUCGAGAGGAAGCACUGGCUAACUCUGUGCCAGCAGCCGCGGUAAUACA